CAAACAGACAGCACCGCAGACGGACGACAACUUGUUUCGUAAACUUCGUCUCGAGUUUAAUUUACGUAGUGUAGGGUUUUAGAAAUUAAUAACCCUUAAGAUAAUUGGUUUUGUAUGAUCUCCUUUCCUAUUUGUACCUAUCCUAACCCAUAUCCUAUCUGAAUCCUUAUCUGCAACCAAAACUUAAAACGGCCAUUCACACUGAUCUGUCGUCGGAAAAUUCGGUGGGCAGCUUCAAUGACAUGCUGUUUGGCAUCAACCCAAUAAAUGGUCUCUGUCGGGUAGUCAAUGGUAAUACCAUUGGGCCACUGGAGAUCGUCACCUAUGAUAACCUGACGACUUGUCCCAUCGAGGUGAAUCUGCUCCGUGGCACGACUGGAAAAUGAAGGUACUACUGAGGGUCACACCACUGUUAUUGGUCAUACCUGCAUCAGUGCCCAGGGAAGUGAGGACAUUCCCAUCAAGCUACAAAGACUUGAAGACGUCUUGCAAUACAACAUGGCUUUCAUUGUGUGCAAAGGAUCGCCCGAUUGCAUGGAAAGGAUCCCAGGCUGCCUUAGGAGGAACGAAAACACGAGCGGAGGACUGUUGGCGGAUUUUACGAACUGCGCUAACUACGCUAACAUCGUCUUGGCUCUGACGCCUGUGCUUCCAGCCAGAUGGCAAGUUAGAAGAUUGGGU